UUUUAAAAAGGAGAUAUUUUUUUUAAAAAAAAGAAAUAGGCUAGGACAUAUAAUUGGAUGGAAAGUAUCUACUCUAUUCAUUUACCUCCCAUCCUACAAAA